rnacentral:tRNA from 1 species
GGGGUUGUGGCUCAGCGGUAGAGCGAGCGCUCACCUCGCUCGUGAGGGGCCCUGGGUUUGAUCCUCAGCACCACA